rnacentral:lncRNA from 1 species
ACUUAUUCUCAGUUCUUUUACUUACCGAAUCAGUCAUCCAGAUGUUCAAAAACAAGAAACACAAUAUGCCUUCAUUCGAAUGGAAUGCUUUUUUCCCAAUAAAUUCUGAGAUAGUACUUCCAUACGCAAGGUCAUCUAGCGGGUAUCCGACUAUAAAACUCGCUGCUGAAAACGUCAAUCUUCAAAAUUUCGAUUCUAAAAUCAAAAUUUUGUAUUCGAUGACAAAAAACAAUGAUAACUAUCCAAUCAUUAAAUCGUAUUGAUGGAUCUUAAUGCGAAGAGAGUCAUACCAUCACGAUAGUCUUAUCAUUAUCGAUCAGUCUGACAAAAGUUUUAAAUAUUUCGAAGAAUGUUUUAUCGACUCGGAAAAAUAUAAUCCAAAGUGUGGACCCGAAC